UUUUUUGUGAUAGGACCCUUACAGACUAUAUUUGAAUACGGCAUACCCGUGAAUUCUGGAACUGUUAUUCCUUAACCCAGUUUGGAGGAUAAGAGCUUACCAACUAUAAAUAUGCUGAGGCGAUGUAUUGCAAAAUAGCCAACAUACAACAAUUAAAGGAUAAUUGCAGCCUAUAUCCUGAUGAAGAUAUGGAUGACCCUCUGUCUGGUCAACAGGAGUUUAAAUAUGGACGGGACAGUUAUGUGGCAGCUCUUCCCUGGCUCAUUCACCUCUUGCCUUCAUUUGUGAAAGGAGGAAAGACUGGAGAGGGUCAAUGUGCAACUGAAGCUACUGACUGUGCUGUGUGAUGAGCAUCAAUCCAUGCUUUGAGGUGGAUGGAUCAGCACAGCCCUGCCUGCUCUGCGUUGGGGAACAAAAGUUGCAUCCAGAAUUUUUGCAUCAUUCUGGACCAAAAAGCCAUUCCCUCCAUGAUGAAGACCACUCAUGCAGCCUUCCACUACUGUACAGUAAAACAACUACAGAACUAAAUACCAGGUUGGAACGUGUUUAAGAAAAAUGAAACGUCUUUUGAAUUGAAAUGUCUGUUUUGUUAUGGAAAAAUCUUUAGUAUUGUGAAGGAUAAGCAUUUCUGCUUGCCGAUAAGGUAAUUGCAUGUAUUUUAAUGUUCAAGUUUUGAGUAGGGUGGCUAAUUUUUUUAACUCUUAUUUGAUUUAUUAAAGACCUUUAUAAUAAGUGGUUUUCAUGUCACUGCGCUGUGGUAUAAGAUAACUUUCAUUAUUCCAUACUGUAUUCUGUUUCUAAUUGUAGCUGAGGUAUUUAAAUAAGCAGUGUUAAAUGCAAAGUGUUGUGUGUAUCAAUGUAAAUAUUAAAUGUGAUUUACUUUAAUAAAAAGAGGUUUUGCAAUA